CGGACGAGAAGCUUGCUUCUCUGAUGUUAGCGGCGGACGGGUGAGUAACACGUGGAUAACCUACCUAUAAGACUGGGAUAACUUCGGGAAACCGGAGCUAAUGCCGGAUAAUAUUUUGAACCGCAUGGUUCAAAAGUGAAAGACGGUCUUGCUGUCACUUAUAGAUGGAUCCGCGCUGCAUUAGCUAGUUGGUAAGGUAACGGCUUACCAAGGGCAACGAUGCAUAGCCGACCUGAGAGGGUGAUCGGCCACACUGGAACUGAGACACGGUCCAGACUCCUACGGGAGGCAGCAGUAGGGAAUCUUCCGCAGUGGGCGAAAGCCUGACGGAGCAACGCCGCGUGAGUGAUGAAGGUCUUCGGAUCGUAAAACUCUGUUAUUAGGGAAGAACAUAUGUGUAAGUAACUGUGCACAUCUUGACGGUACCUAAUCAGAAAGCCACGGCUAACUACGUGCCAGCAGCCGCGGUAAUACGUAGGUGGCAAGCGUUAUCCGGAAUUAUUGGGCGUAAAGCGCGCGUAGGCGGUUUUUUAAGUCUGAUGUGAAAGCCCACGGCUCAACCGUGGAGGGUCAUUGGAAACUGGAAAACUUGAGUGCAGAAGAGGAAAGUGGAAUUCCAUGUGUAGCGGUGAAAUGCGCAGAGAUAUGGAGGAACACCAGUGGCGAAGGCGACUUUCUGGUCUGUAACUGACGCUGAUGUGCGAAAGCGUGGGGAUCAAACAGGAUUAGAUACCCUGGUAGUCCACGCCGUAAACGAUGAGUGCUAAGUGUUAGGGGGUUUCCGCCCCUUAGU
rnacentral:rRNA from 1 species